UGAGAGAGGUCAGCGUGAGCCCCUUGCCUCACACCGGCCCCUCCCACGCUGAGAGAGGUCAGUGUGAGCCCUUGCCUCACACCGGCCCCUCCCACGCGGACAGAGGUCAGCGUGAGCCCCUUGCCUCACACCGGCCCCUCCCACGCUGAGAGAGGUCAGUGUGAGCCCUUGCCUCACCCCGGCCCCUCCCACGUGGACAGAGGUCAGCGUGAGCCCCUUGUCUCACACCGGCCCCUCCCACGCUGAGAGAGGUCAGUGUGAGCCCUUGCCUCACACCGGCCCCUCCCACGCGGACAGAGGUCAGCGUGAGCCCCUUGCCUCACACCGGCCCCUCCCACGCGGACAGAGGUCAGCCCGAGCCCCUUGCCUCACACCGGCCCCUCCCACGCUGAGAGAGGUCAGCCCGAGCCCCUUGCCUCACACCGGCCCCUCCCACGCUGAGAGAGGUGUGAGCCCCUUGUCUCACACCGGCCCCUCCCACGCGGACAGAGGUCAGCGUGAGCCCCUUGCCUCACACCGGCCCCUCCCACGCUGAGAGAGGUCAGUGUGAGCCCUUGCCUCACACCGGCCCCUCCCACGCGGACAGAGGUCAGCGUGAGCCCCUUGCCUCACACCGGCCCCUCCCACGCUGAGAGAGGUCGGUGUGAGCCCUUGCCUCACACCGGCCCCUCCCACGCGGACAGAGGUCAGCGUGAGCCCCUUGCCUCACCCCGGCCCCUCCCACGCUGAGAGAGGUCAGUGUGAGCCCUUGCCUCACACCGGCCCCUCCCACGCGGACAGAGGUC
rnacentral:lncRNA from 1 species